UUAAUUUGAAGAGAGUCUUUAAAGAGUCUCACUUUAAACCCCAUGCUUUAAACCUGCAAUACCAUAUUUAUUUUGGCCACUUGGAGACAGCGGAAACAAACUGGGAACACAUUGACAAAUCAUCACCUUUUAAGCCCUGUCCAGCUGACCUGUGUGGUGCUUCAGAAAUAAUAACAGCAUUGAGAACAGCAACAGCGGUGACAAGAGCUAUUACAACGCCAUGCAACACAACAGCAGAGGACAGACAGCACUCAGCACCAGAUGGGCGCUUCCUGUGCCAGGCAGGAAAUGGCACUGAGCUCCCUCGCCAUCAUAUUUCAUUUUAGCAGAGAACAGAGAUGAUCAUCACUUCAUCCUCGACACAUCCAUCCCCCAACGGGGCCUAACGUGAAUACCAAUACGGCCGGCAAACGUUGCAAUUAAUGGAGCCAAUAUGUCAGGAACACCGGAGAGGCAAGCUUCGAGCCUCCUGCUUCAGGAAAAGAGAGGCAGAUGUGAUGUGAGCAGAGAUGACUUUUCUGUUCUCGGGAGGGAAAAAACUCCUCUUGUCCCCCCUUUCCCUACCUCCAUCUGCCCAUAUGUGCAAGGAUCCCCAGUAUCAUCUUUACUUAGGGGAAUCUGCUUUGAAAUAUAUCGGCUUUAUAAAUGCCUGUCUCUUUCUAUUUGAAUGUUUUUACACAGAGCCGAGAAGCAUCAGUCAGGUGAAUGAGAGGCAUGCUGUUUUUUUUUCUAAAAUAAAAGCAAAUUGCAUUUGCCCUGCCAUACACAGUUUGUCGCCGCAGGGAUGUUCUGUUUGUGUUUGUGUCUGUGAAGAAGAAGGCAUUUGAAUUGUUUGUUAAAAAAAAAGUAUUCAGACGGAGAGAAUCAGACAUUUAUACACUUCACGUUACUGACUAAUGUGGAUGAAUUUGAAAAUGUAUAAUUUAUGGGUGGAAAGUUUUUUCUAAUGCAUAUCAGUGUUUUCAGAUCCUUAUUUAAAUUUUUCUGUCAACAUCAAUAUCUCUUCUUCUCCUUAUUUUAAUGGCAGUUGGGUAAACACAAAAGGGUGCUUUGAGGCUACGAUGUGGUAAAGAAAACUCAGCUAUGUCACCUCCGAGUUUCUCUGGCAUUAUUUUCAUUAGUUUCAAUACAGCCAGUCACAUAAA